rnacentral:RNase_P_RNA from 2 species
AAUGGUGAGUAAUCGCGGCUCAUGCCAGACAUGAGUUGAGGAAAGUCCAGGCUCGCCCGGUGCUGAGAUGCCCGGAGUGUUCGUGCCAUCUGCAAAGGUGGGCAGCAGAUUCUGCUGACGGCGGUGAAAUCAUGCUAAGUCCUUAUGGAUAUGCUGAGAUUAGCCUGAAAGUGCCACAGUGACGAUGUCCUCCGGAAACGGAGGAAGUGGAACGAGGGUAAACCCCGCGAGCGAGCAACCCAAACUAUGGUAGGGGCACCAUCCUGCGGGAAAUGAACCAAAAGGAUGGAUCGAUUGCAAAUCGAUAGUCAUAUGAUUACACCUGUUGUGCGAGAGUGGCAUCGUUUAGCACGCAGGCACAGAACCUGGCUUACAGCC